rnacentral:rRNA from 1 species
AUUGAACGCUGGCGGCAGGCUUAACACAUGCAAGUCGAGCGGAGCGAGGGUGCUUGCACCUUAGCUUAGCGGCGGACGGGUGAGUAAUGCUUAGGAAUCUGCCUAUUAGUGGGGGACAACAUUCCGAAAGGAAUGCUAGUACAGCAUACGCCCUACGGGGGAAAGCAGGGGAUCUUCGGACCUUGCGCUAAUAGAUGAGCCUAAGUCGGAUUAGCUAGUUGGUGGGGUAAAGGCCUACCAAGGCGACGAUCUGUAGCGGGUCUGAGAGGAUGAUCCGUCACACUGGGACUGAGACACGGCCCAGACUCCUACGGGAGGCAGCAGUGGGGAAUAUUGGACAAUGGGCGGAAGCCUGAUCCAGCCAUGCCGCGUGUGUGAAGAAGGCCUUUUGGUUGUAAAGCACUUUAAGCGAGGAGGAGGCUCUUAAGGUUAAUACCCUUGAUGAGUGGACGUUACUCGCAGAAUAAGCACCGGCUAACUCUGUGCCAGCAGCCGCCGUAAUAC